CUGAGCUCGAUCGAUCGAUCGAUCAAGAAGACAAAUUAACCCUUGUUGUGAUAUGCGAUUUGUGCGUGUGUGUUGUCUGUUUCGAUCGUGAUGUUUUCUGCGUGUUUAUUUCGUGAUGUUCUCUCAUCGCGCCCGCGCGCGGUUGGGUACGAUCCGGGACACCUACGUAGCACUGAAUCCGUCUCUGUGAUGCAUUCAGAGAAUAAGUCCGAAUAUGUGCGGCCUUGUUAAUGUUUUCAUGAAUAACUCGUGUAGUGGGAUUACUUUGUCAUCGGACAUUUCAUGAUUUCCGAUGCACACCUUGGCUAUGUUCUUCCCCCC
rnacentral:sRNA from 1 species